CGUCCUUAGUUACCAGCAUUUAGUUGGGUACCCUAAGGAGACUGCCGGUGAUAAGCCGGAGGAAGGUGUGGACGACGUCAAGUCAUCAUGGCCCUUACGGGUUGGGCUACACACGUGCUACAAUGGCAUCUACAGUGAGUUAAUCUCCAAAAGAUGUCUCAGUUCGGAUUGGGGUCUGCAACUCGACCCCAUGAGGUUGGAAUCGCUAGUAAUCGCGGAACAGCAUGCCGCGGUGAAUACGUUC
rnacentral:rRNA from 1 species